AUGGCUUGUCAUGGAUGCCCCAAUGGCAAUGCCAAUGUCUGGUGCUUUGUUCUGGCCCUUUUGAUCACCAUUGCCAGCUUCGCUCCAAACCCAAGUUUUGCUAAGAAAACAAAAGUUGAUGGCUUGAAAUUAAACGUGAUCGAUGGUUGCUGGAGAUGGAACUCGGAUUGGAGAAGGAACCGGCAGGAACUUGCAUUAUGCUCAGUGGGAUUUUCUGGGAAGAUGAGCAACAACAUAGGAAGAGAUGUCAUAUACUAUCAAGUCACGGACCCAAGUGACAGUGCGUUGGACCCCAAACCGGGAACUUUGAGAUAUGGGGUUACCAUGAUAAAAGGGAAAAAGUGGAUCACCUUCCAGAGGGACAUGCACAUUAGGCUUGACAAACCACUUCUCAUUAGUAGCUUCACUGCCAUUGAUGGAAGAGAUGCUAAUGUUCACAUUGCUGGUAAUGCAUGCUUGCUGGUCUUUCAGGUACGUAUAUUAAUUACAUUUAUUUACACACACAUACGUAUUUAAUUGGCUAGUUAGUGUUCAAACCUAAGACCACUAGUAUGUAAGUCAAAACUCUUUUUCAUUGGACUAGAUACCGUUGACAUUCAUAAGUAUAUUUAAGAUAAUGUAGUAAGUACCAAAUUUAUAUACUUAUAAUAUAUUCAUAAGUAUAUUCAAAUUGCAAUCUAACACUCGCCAGCUUAUUGCAAAAGUAAUCUUCUGUUGUCCUUAUUUAAGGCUGAAAAUCUAACUAGCCUAUAUUGUAACCAAGAAUAAUCUAAUUAGCAUGAAUGGGGUAGUUCGAUAACCUAAACCCUUGAUUUUCUUAUUCUAAAUGAGAAAUGAGGGAUGAUAUAGUUGAGACAGUUUUGAGUGGUAUGGUCACACCGCCACGUGCUAUUACUAAUCUAUUGUUAUAAUAUGGGUGAAGACAUGGAUUAUAUAUAUAUCUCAUGGAAUGGAACUAGCUAGGGAAUAGUUUUAAUAGAUAAAUACAUACAAUAUAAGUAAAGUUGUAACACCGCAUAACAGUCUCAUUAUGAUUUUUUAACAAUUGAAUAUAAUAAAGAUAUCUUGUGUACAUUUUCAUGCAUGUAAACUAAUUAUAUUAUUGUUUUAAACGUUAUCAGGCAAGCAAUAUAAUCAUCCAUGGCCUUCGAAUCCAUCAUUGCCGACCCCAACCACCAAGCUCAGUUAUGGGUCCCGAAGGAAAGAUAAUGCCAAUAGGGCAGGUUGAUGGAGAUGCAAUCAGGUUGGUAACUGCAUCAAAGGUUUGGAUAGACCACAAUACACUCUACGAGUGCCAGGACGGUCUUCUCGAUGUUACUCGCGGAUCUACCCAUAUCACCAUCUCCAACAAUUGGUUCAGAGACCAGGACAAGGUUAUGCUUCUCGGCCAUGAUGAUGGCUACUUUCGGGACAAGAACAUGAGGGUGACUGUUGUGUACAACCAUUUUGGACCCAACUGCAACCAAAGAAUGCCAAGGUAAAGGCCUCUAGCUAUUACUACAGCUAUUACUAUUAGCAAAGUAUGUACGUAAUAUAUGUAUAGGAAGUUGAGUUUCCACUCCAAAACCAAUUGGCAAUGGGCGAAGCAAUGGAACUCCUUAUAAGUGUAGGACAUUUUCACUUUCACAUUCUCACAUACAAAACGUUGUUGCAUGCAUGCAGGAUUCGCUAUGGAUAUGCACAUGUCGUGAACAACCUUUACAGAGAAUGGUCGCAGUAUGCUAUUGGGGGAAGCAUGAACCCUAGUGUUAAGAGUGAAGCCAACCUCUUCAUUGCACCAAAAUCGGGAAACAAGAAAGAGGUAAUUAUUAACUCAAAUGUAUAUAUAUUCAAGUUCAAAUGCAAUGCCCUUAAUUAAUUAAUGAAUGAUUUUCCAUGUACUCACAGAUCACUUGGAGGAAGGACAGCAUUGGAGACAAAGAAUCCUGGAAGUUUUACUCUGUAGGAGAUAUCUUUGAAAAUGGGGCUUCUUUCGUGGAAACAGGUGCCGGCAGAGCAAAGCCAAACUAUAACAGAGAACAAACUUUCCCAGUUGUUAAUGCCAAAUCUGUCCGCUCAUUGACAAGGUCAUCUGGUGCUUUGAUAUGCAUCAAAAGAUCCAGAUGCUAA
rnacentral:lncRNA from 1 species